GAGGGUAUAGCUCAAGUGGUAGAAUGCAUGCUUAGCAUGCAGAAGAUCCUGGGUUCAAUCCCCAGUACCUCCU
rnacentral:tRNA from 1 species